rnacentral:miRNA from 1 species
ACAAUGCCAAUGGAGACGGAU